rnacentral:misc_RNA from 1 species
GAUGAAGAACGUAGCAAAUGCGAUAAGUAAUGUGAAUUGCAGAAUUCAGUGAAUCAUCGAAUCUUUGAACGCACAUUGCGCCCGCCAGUAUUCUGGCGGGCAUGCCUGUUCGAGCGUCAUUUCAACCAUCAAGCCCCGGGCUUGUGUUGGGGACCUGCGGCUGCCGCAGGCCCUGAAAUGCAGUGGCGGGCUCGCUGUCACUCCGAGCGUAGUAGUUACAUCUCGCUCUGGGCGUGCUGCGGGUUCCGGCCGUUAAAAGCCUUAUUUACCCAAGGUUGACCUCGGAUCAGGUAGGAAGACCCGCUGAACUUAAGCAUAUCAAUAAGCGGAGGA